GACGGAGGAUGCAAGCGUUAUCCGGAAUGAUUGGGCGUAAAGCGUCCGCAGGUGGCAGUUCAAGUCUGCUGUCAAAGACCGGGGCUUAACUUCGGAAAGGCAGUGGAAACUGAACAGCUAGAGUAUGGUAGGGGCAGAGGGAAUUCCUAGUGUAGCGGUGAAAUGCGUAGAGAUCAGGAAGAACAUCGGUGGCGAAGGCGCUCUGCUGGACCAACACUGACACUGAUGAGCGAAAGCCAGGGGAGCAAACGGG
rnacentral:rRNA from 1 species